AUGUAUUCUACAACUCUCUCAAA
rnacentral:siRNA from 1 species